rnacentral:rRNA from 1 species
AUACGGAGGAUGCGAGCGUUAUCCGGAUUUAUUGGGUUUAAAGGGUGCGCAGGCGGGAGAUUAAGUCGGCGGUGAAAUUUUGCAGCUCCACUGUAAAAGGGCCUUCGAAACUGGUUUCCUUGAGUGUAGAUGAAGUAGGCGGAAUUUGUGGUGUAGCGGGGAAAUGCAUAGAUAUCACGAGGAACUCCGAUUGCGCAGGCAGCUUACUAAACUACUACUGACGCUCAGGCACGAAGGCGUGGGGAUCAAACAGGAUUAGAUACCCUGGUAGUCCACGCAGUAAACGAUGAUUACUAGCUGUUUGCGAUACAAUGUAAGCGGCUGAGCGAAAGCGUUAAGUAAUCCACCUGGGGAGUACGUUCGCAAGAAUGAAACUCAAAGGAAUUGACGGGG